UCCUGAUUAGCUCAAUCGGUAGAGCGCUCCCCUGGAAAUGGAGUGGCCCCUAGUUCGACCCCAGAACCAGGAA
rfam:Ixodes scapularis strain Wikel colony gcontig_1107728551520, whole genome shotgun sequence.